AGUCGAGGCGAAUGAGAGUGAAAAUUGCAAACUAUCACAGCAAGCAAUGACAAAAACAAAAACAAAAAAGAAUAUGGGAAAAAAGUUCUCUAAGUACAUUGAGAGCAGCAGCAGAAGCAGCAGCGGCAGUAGCAGGCGACGGUGACAGGAGGGGCCACGAAGGCUAUUCCCAGUUUCGCCCGAAUCGGUCGCUAAGAGUAGCAGCAAGCAGCGAGCGGCAAUCAGCAACAGCAGCGCGGUAGAAGAGUAGAAAACUACGAAUUGGCGAACGAGCAAGCAAGCCAGUCAAACCCAAAGGCAACAACAAUAUUAGCAACUAGUACCUACAACAGGAACAACGGGCGUGCAAAAUAACAGCAAAAACAACAGCAACAGCAACAGCAACAGCAGACAUACAGCAAUGCUCUUGAAUUGACGAUAGAGUGGCAGUAAAUUGACGACAGCAACGCUAGCAACAUCAGCAGCGCUGUUAACCACAACGUCGACGCUAUUAAAACCGAAUGUAUAAACGAAUUGGCAACGAAGGCAAUGACAGCGAAGGCGGCGACGACGCAACGACACACUGAGAAGGCGAUGAAGGUAGAAAAUUGAACUUUCCAUUUGGUCUGCUUGCGACGACAGCGGCAUUGAGAACUGAAACUUUUGUGUGAUCAUACCGCAUCGCGGCUGAGACGACGAAACGGAGCGCUGAAAAAAAUUUAAAAUUUGGUAAAAAAGUGUUUAGAAAGUAAUUAAAAGUAUAGAAAAAAGUAACAACAACAAAUAUUAAGAAAAUAAAUGUGUUAAAUUUUCUAAACUGAAAUAUGUAUAUAUUGUAUAAGUGGAAAACGCCAAAAAAAAAAUACAAUAUUAUGAAAUUCUUUCAACUAAUGCGCAGUUCUCAUAACAUUUCUAAUGAAAAACGCCAACACUACUUUUUACAAAUAAUAUGUAUGUACAUAUAACAAUUAAAACUUUUGGAAAGGAAAAAAAUAAAAAAAACUAAUAGGGGCUCAUUAGUUGUAUCAAAAAAUUAUCACAAUAAAAAAAUUUCUUUUCGGAAGUCAGAAAAAAAUAUUGAAAAUUAACUAAAAGUUCAAGUUAAUCUUGAAAAGUGCUUAAAAUUGAACUAUAUAAAAUAUGCAUGCAAUCGAACAAAAUAGUGAAGUUCACCAAAUAAAUUACCCAGAAAGGUGCCAAGCGAUUAUUCUAAAAAAAAUCAUCGGCAACGAUUCAUAACGUUUGUCUAACAACCCUUGGCAAGCGUUAGAAGUUCCACCAUGGCGGACGCAAUGGAAAGCUUUUGGUGCUACGAAAUGUGGCAGCAGCAGCGGCAAAUAUGAUUAUGUAUAUACAUAUAUACUUUAUAGCAGUUUCCCAGCUGCAGCAGACAAGAAAAUUCAAUUAGAAGUAAGCAACUAACAACAAGAAGCGAAAGGAAAUGCUAUGAACACGUAAAAAUCUAUUGGCACCGAGAAAAAGAAGGCGUGAGUGGCUAAGGAAGUACAUAUGUAUAUACAUACCUACAGAAUAUGAAUGACAUGAAAUAGAAGUAAAGGGAAACAGAACGUCGACAGCGACAGAAGGGCAGUGCGGACGAGUAAAGGGUGUAGAUAGAAGAAGAGAAGCGAUUUGAAAGGAAAUUUGUGGUGACUUAGCGCAAAGGGCAAGUGGGAAGUGUGGCGGUAGCAAUUAUUUAAGCAGCCAUUACAGUACACAUACUCGUAUACAUAUAUACAUAUUGUAUAUGCCCUGCCGUUUCCACAAUCUCUCACUAUUUCAUAUGCUGUGUGUAUACUUUAACACACACACACACACACACAACAAUGCAAUUACAAACACAUUGCCAUACAUAGAUGUUAUUUACAUUCAUAUGCAUACAUACAUAUGUAUAUGCACGUCACCACAACAGUAACAACAAAAGCAACUAACAACGACAACUUGUAAGUGCAUGCAAAUGCAUUAGGCUGCCAGCGAAACGGGUUGGUGGUGGUGGUUGGCCAAUUGCGGUUGUGUUAGAAAAGGAAGCAACAAUAAUAACACUAUAUAUAUAGAGUGUAUAUAUAUGUAUGUACAUACAUAUGUAUGUCGUUGAAUAACAAAUAUGGCGGACAUGCGCAAAUUGCAUUCGAACUUGAACUUGAAAUUUAUUUCACGACGAAGAAAGCGAUUGCAACGGCAACAGAGCGGUGAGAGAGAGAGAGAGCGGCCAGCGUUUGCAGCUACAGCUACAGCUACAGCUACAACAGCAACAGAAAGUGAACCCGAAACAGACACGUCCAUGCAAUCCCAACGUCCACACUACACUCGGCCAAGGAACCCAUAGGACAACAGAAUACAGGAGUACAAGGACACGAGCGGUUGCAUAACAAUUUGUUGGCAGUGAAUUUUUUUGGUUUAAAGUGGAAAUACAUAUGUUAAGCGAUUGCAUCAGCAGCUGGUGGCUGGCAAGAAAAUCGAAGUCAAAUUCAUUUGCAAGUUUUUCGGGCAACCCAAACAGGUAAGUGCAUUUCUUUCCAUUGAGAUAUGUGUAAUGUGAGUCUUACAUUAUACGUAAAGGUCAAAGGUUAGCGCAAUGCUAUGUGCUUAGUGUUCUAAAUUUCGGUAUAAAUAAAUAAUGUCAGCCGAUUGUAGAGUGCAACAGAAAAUUAAAAUUGUGUUGGCGUUGAAUUAAUUGUGGAAGAAAAAGCUUCACACGUCAACAGAGACGAUGCAAUUCAGUCAUCAUCGUUGUGAAAAAAACCGUAAUAAAUUUCACUUUUUAAAAGUUUAUAUAUGAAGGGUGUGUGUUUGUGUGUGUGUUUGCAUAUAGCAAAAGCACGAAACAGCGAAACAGGAAAUACUAAAAAAUAGAGAGUGAGAGAAAAAACUAUCGCGAAUCAGCAGAGACACUUUGUUUACGAUAUUUUAUGUGAACGUUAAAGCUCGCUCUCACAUAUGAGAGGGUGAUUCACUUACAUGCAUAUAAAUUCAAGCUUUCACACACGGUUGCCACCCUUCAAAAUUACAGGUAUAUAAAAAAUUGCGUAAUAAUUCGUUCGUAGCAUUUAAUUUUGUUAACUUUUUCAUCAAAUUUCACACUUAAAUGCAAUUCAAAAUAAUUUAAAUAACUUCAGAGCGCGUAAUUUUCAUACAAACAGUUUGCAAAAUGGAAAAUUUAGCUGUAUCUAGUAAAAAUUGGCACAUAUUUUAAUGCACAAUAAUAACCUGAUAAUGAAAUAGCUUUUCAAUUGCCAUUAUUUAGAUUUCAAUUAUCUUCCUUGUAUUGAUGGUAAACAAAAAAAUUAUGGUUACUAAGCGAGUUAUGUUCAUAGUAUAAAUAUAUUAUUGUAUAUGAUAUAUACAUAUAUAAUUGGCGUUUUGUAACCGCUAUUACGAUUUUCGGGCGAGCUCCUCCUCCAAUUUGUGGUCUGCGUGUUGAUGUUCUUUGCAACCUACUUAUGGCUGAUUGUUUUUGUUUUAUAAGGAGCCUGUAUUUCAUGUCAUGUCAGAAAUAUACACAGAGGAAGAAAUACACUGCGACCGCAAUGAAAAAAUUUAACUUAUUUUGUAUUUAAAAUCGUUUUUUAAAACUUCUUGGCUUUGGUUGGAACCAUGACUCGAACCCUGGCCAUCCGAAUAACAGCACGCAAUGUUAAUCACUCUGUUGUCGCUGCCGUCUGGUAGUUUUUCUGAGGUGAUUGGCAAUGCGCUUAUGUGCUCGGUACGACAUUAGUGAAUUUCUGACACGUAAAGCUCAUAUUUCCUUCUAUAACACCGUCCGCACCGAUUUUUGACACACGGAAAAAAUUAAACAUUUUCGGAAACAGUGAAAAAUGAAUCCCUAGUCUGGCCAUUUUGCUAGGGCAAGUCGUUUAUGGUUGUAAGCGGUGAAAACCAUCCCUAAAUUGAAAGUGAUUUUUUUAAAUUAUUAAUAACUCAUAGCGACCCCAAAUGCUGAUAAUGAUGUCAGAUUUUCAAUACUCAAUAUUCAAAAAUAUCAAAAUAUUCCAAACUUCAAUUUAUCAUUUUAACAUUACAAAAUGAGCAAUGACAUGGUUAGUUUUUCAUUUAGGCUUUGCUCCGGAAAGCAAAUAUCAAUCAUGUACAUAUAAAAUAUGCAUAAGCUUUCAACAGAAAUUUUCAUUACUUAAAGAAUAUUUUAGGUUAGAAAAAUGCUAUAAAAAUUUUAUGCGCCUUUCUGCGGCUUUUAAAGAUUUUUUUACUAAACAAGAAAUAAGUUCUUGUAUUAACACCGUAAAAGCAUGGAAAAAGAUAAAUCCAUGUCCAUUACAUUAGGCCGAUAAAUAAUUAUUUGUUGAAAGAUUUCAUCAAAUUCAUAAGUUUUCCAUACAAUUUCCAUUGCGUCUGUGUGGCAACUUAGUCCAUGAAAAGCUUUUCCCUUAUUGAGUUGUAAUUGCACAAAGUCAAUAAACAAAACAUAAUUAAACUUAACCACCUUCGGCUCUUAAAUAUUUAUAUGAAUCUGCCAUAGGCAUUUUUUUUACACAGUUUUCCGUAAAUUUUGGCACUGAUGCCAAGUGGCAAUCAUGCCUGUGUUCAAACUACUCUAAAGCUUUCACUUUGUUGAGCUUUUAUCGCCUUAUGUCUCCUUAUCUCUGCGCUUUUGUACAAAUUCCAACAUUCGCCUCGCGCUGACUACUUGUGUGGGAGGCAACAACUUUUACCUCAAUAUAUACAUAUACGUAGAUAUGAGUGUGCGUGUAUUGAGCGCCUAUUUGAAGGCUACAACCAUACAUACAAACGCCUGUACGCCUUUCGUUAGGCAGCGUCAAAAGCCGAUAACAGCAUUUUCCACUUUUACGCAGCACACCUACAGGGAUAGGAGCCUGAUUUAUUGGGCAUUCUUCACACAGAAUAUUCGAUGCCGUCAAUGUCAAGUGUGAAAGCUAUUGAAAAAGAACUGUUAAAUAAAAUUAUUAAAAACAAUAAAGUGUUUUUAAAUUAUAAAUUUUAAAGCCAAUAAAAAAGAGUGCUUUUUAAACCUGGCAAAUUUCAUUUUUAGCCCCACCUACUAUAUACUCGUAUAUAGAUAUAUAUAGAUAUUUACAGCGCUGUGUGCUGAGCAAUUGCAAGUUAACCUUUGAUCUUUGCGCUGACAGUAAGUGAUUCACAUCUUUAUGUAUAUUAAUCUACGCGCAGUUAAUGUCAUAUGCGCCGUGACGCAUUCUGAUAUACAUAUACAUAUACUUACAUACGUGGUAUAUCGUAUAUGUAAUCUUAUGGCAAUAACGACAACGAAAACUCUUUACAUAUUUAACUGGAACUAUGAAAUGUGAUAACUAUUUACUUAAAUACAUACAAAUAUACAUAUGUAUGUGGUAUAUAUUAGUUAUAAAAAGUGAUGAAAUUCCGUAUGUAUUCUUCAAUAACAACAAAUGAAAGUGGCUGCGAGUAUUAAAACCAACACAAAGAAAUGCAAACGCAUGAAAAUUGAUUAACUACCAAAAAUAAACUUGGCAGUAACAGUGAAAUUAUAAUACAUACAUACAAAAGCAGGAUUGCCUAAAAACAGUAUCCUUACUCUGGUUUCUACAAUCAACAAUAAACGCCUACUAUUGAACGUACUCUGACGUAUUUUCAUUUUGUUGUUGUGUACCUAUAUAUAUGCAUGUAUAUUCCUUCUUUUGUGUAACAGUGUGUGGGUGUUGCAGCAGCCAAGGUACCUCGAAAACCCCGCGAAACAGAUUUGACAAUUAAUUUUUUUUUAAUUUAAAAGAAAUAAUUUAUGAAAUUAAAUAUUGAAUAAAAAAUUGAAUGAGAUAAAAAA